UGUGUAAAAUGUAAAAUAUAAGUUUAAUUAAUUAAUUAAUUUAAAUGAUAAUUUAGGUUAAAGUUUAAUUUUAAUUUAAAUUAAUAGGUAAUAAUUAUUUUUACAUUAGGUAUUUAUAGAGUAGAUAUGAUAUAAAACUGAACUUAAAUUGAUUUUAAAAUUUUUAGUUUAAAAUGAAUUAUUUUAAAAACUCUGUCGUUAUGUAUUUAUUUAAAUUAUUCAAUUAGAMUAGCACCUAGUAGUUAAUUUAAUGUCUAAGGAGAUUAAAAUAUUUUAUGGCGGUUUAGAAUAUUUAAAUUACUAAAUUGUAAAUUAGAAAAUGAAUUUAUGUUUAUAAAAGUAAUAAAUAA
rnacentral:rRNA from 1 species